GCUUGCACCUUUCAAGUGAGUGGCGAACGGGUGAGUAACACGUGGACAACCUGCCUCAAGGCUGGGGAUAACAUUUGGAAACAGAUGCUAAUACCGAAUAAAACUUAGUGUCGCAUGACACAAAGUUAAAAGGCGCUUCGGCGUCACCUAGAGAUGGAUCCGCGGUGCAUUAGUUAGUUGGUGGGGUAAAGGCCUACCAAGACAAUGAUGCAUAGCCGAGUUGAGAGACUGAUCGGCCACAUUGGGACUGAGACACGGCCCAAACUCCUACGGGAGGCUGCAGUAGGGAAUCUUCCACAAUGGGCGAAAGCCUGAUGGAGCAACGCCGCGUGUGUGAUGAAGGCUUUCGGGUCGUAAAGCACUGUUGUAUGGGAAGAACAGCUAGAAUAGGAAAUGAUUUUAGUUUGACGGUACCAUACCAGAAAGGGACGGCUAAAUACGUGCCAGCAGCCGCGGUAAUACGUAUGUCCCGAGCGUUAUCCGGAUUUAUUGGGCGUAAAGCGAGCGCAGACGGUUUAUUAAGUCUGAUGUGAAAGCCCGGAGCUCAACUCCGGAAUGGCAUUGGAAACUGGUUAACUUGAGUGCAGUAGAGGUAAGUGGAACUCCAUGUGUAGCGGUGGAAUGCGUAGAUAUAUGGAAGAACACCAGUGGCGAAGGCGGCUUACUGGACUGCAACUGACGUUGAGGCUCGAAAGUGUGGGUAGCAAACAGGAUUAGAUACCCUGGUAGUCCACACCGUAAACGAUGAACACUAGGUGUUAGGAGGUUUCCGCCUCUUAGUGCCGAAGCUAACGCAUUAAGUGUUCCGCCU
rnacentral:rRNA from 1 species